CAGUCGCCGCGGUAAUACAGAGGGUGCGAGCGUUAAUCGGAUUUACUGGGCGUAAAGCGUGCGUAGGCGGCUUUUUAAGUCGGAUGUGAAAUCCCUGAGCUUAACUUAGGAAUUGCAUUCGAUACUGGGAAGCUAGAGUAUGGGAGAGGAUGGUAGAAUUCCAGGUGUAGCGGUGAAAUGCGUAGAGAUCUGGAGGAAUACCGAUGGCGAAGGCAGCCAUCUGGCCUAAUACUGACGCUGAGGUACGAAAGCAUGGGGAGCAAACAGGAUUAGAUACCCGGGUAGUCCCUGUCUCUUAUAA
rnacentral:rRNA from 1 species